AGAGAGAGACAUGCGCGCAUAUCAAUAAGCGGAGGAAAAGAAACUAACAAGGAUUCCCUUAGUAACGGCGAGUGAAGCGGGAAGAGCUCAAAUUUGAAAUCUUCAAGGUUUUACCUUGACGAAUUGUAGUUUGAAAGAAGUGUUUUCUGUUGAAGUUUUGGUAAAAGUUCUUUGGAAUAGGACAUCAUAGAGGGUGAGAAUCCCGUAUUUGACCAUUAUUUUCAGCUUUGUGAUACACUUUCAAAGAGUCGGAUUGUUUGGGAAUGCAGUCCAAAAUGGGUGGUAAAUUUCAUCUAAAGCUAAAUAUUGGCGAGAGACCGAUAGCGAACAAGUACCGUGAGGGAAAGAUGAAAAGAACUUUGAAAAGAGAGUUAAACAGUACGUGAAAUUGUCAAAAGGGAAGCGUUUGACACCAGUGUUGUUUUCUCGAAAAUCAAUUAAAAAUGGCUCGAUUUUGUAUUGUUGAGACCUUAAAAGCUCACUGUACAUUUUUCGUGUCUUUUUUAAUGCACUUUUCGUUUAACAAGUCAACAUCAGUUUCUUUUGUUGUAAAAGGGUCAUUGGAAGGUGGCUUUCUUUUCGGAGAAAGUGUUUAUAGCCUUUGGCCUCUGCAAUCGGAGAGACUGAGGUCUGCAGCGUAGACUCUUCGGGGUUAGAUACAUUUGUGCUAAGUUAUAGCUUUUUAUAGACAACUUGUUGACUAUAAUUAGUCUUGUAGCUUACUCGCUUAUGCUAUUUUACCUACGCUUAGGAUGUUGAAGAUGUAGCACAUCAU
rnacentral:rRNA from 1 species